GCACAACGCGAAGAACCUUACCCAGGCUUGAACUGCAGAUGACAUCCUACGAAAGUAGGCUUCCGCAAGGACGUCUGUAGAGGUGCUGCAUGGCUGUCGUCAGCUCGUGUCGUGAGAUGUUGGGUUAAGUCCCGCAACGAGCGCAACCCUUGUCUUCUGUUGCCAUCGGGUCAAGCCGGGCACUCUGAAGAGACUGCCGGUGACAAACCGGAGGAAGGUGGGGAUGACGUCAAGUCAGCAUGGCCUUUAUGUCUGGGGCCACACACGUGCUACAAUGGCCGGUACAAACCGUCGCGAGCCCGCGAGGGGGAGCUAAUCGGAUAAAGCCGGUCUCAGUUCGGAUUGUAGGCUGCAACUCGCCUGCAUGAAGUUGGAAUCGCUAGUAAUCGCGGAUCAGCACGCCGCGGUGAAUACGUUCCCGGGUCUUGUACACACCG
rnacentral:rRNA from 1 species